rnacentral:rRNA from 1 species
UGGGGAAUAUUGGACAAUGGGGGGAACCCUGAUCCAGCCAUGCCGCGUGUGUGAAGAAGGCCUUAUGGUUGUAAAGCACUUUAAGCGAGGAGGAGGGUACUGGUAUUAAUACUACCAGGUACUGGACGUUACUCGCAGAAUAAGCACCGGCUAACUCUGUGCCAGCAGCCGCGGUAAUACAGAGGGUGCGAGCGUUAAUCGGAUUUACUGGGCGUAAAGCGUGCGUAGGCGGCUAAUUGAGUCGGAUGUGAAAUCCCCGAGCUUAACUUGGGAACUGCAUUCGAUACUGGUUAGCUAGAGUGUGGGAGAGGAUGGUAGAAUUCCAGGUGUAGCGGUGAAAUGCGUAGAGAUCUGGAGGAAUACCGAUGGCGAAGGCAGCCAUCUGGCCUAACACUGACGCUGAGGUACGAAAGCAUGGGGAGCAAACUGG